AUUGAACGCUGGCGGCAUGCUUUACACAUGCAAGUCGAACGGUAACAGGUUAAGCUGACGAGUGGCGAACGGGUGAGUAAUGCAUCGGAACGUGCCCGAUCGUGGGGGAUAACACUUCGAAAGAAGUGCUAAUACCGCAUACGAUCUGAGGAUGAAAGCGGGGGACCGUAAGGCCUCGCGCGAUCGGAGCGGCCGAUGUCAGAUUAGGUAGUUGGUGGGGUAAAGGCUCACCAAGCCGACGAUCUGUAGCUGGUCUGAGAGGACGACCAGCCAAGCUGGGACCGAGACACGGCCCAGACUCCUACGGGAGGCAGCAGUGGGGAAUUUUGGACAAUGGGCGCAAGCCUGAUCCAGCAAUGCCGCGUGCAGGAAGAAGGCCUUCGGGUUGUAAACUGCUUUUGUACGGAGCGAAAAGGCUCCCUCUAAUACAGGGGGCUCAUGACGGUACCGUAAGAAUAAGCACCGGCUAACUACGUGCCAGCCGCCGCCGUAA
rnacentral:rRNA from 1 species